GCCGAAGCGGACAUUGCGCAUGCGCACCCACACAGCCCCGCUGGCCGGAUCCAGGUCUGGGCCCCGCCCUACGCGUUUCCAGCACCGGAGGUCUUAACCCCGCCCUGACUCGAGACGGAGGUUUCCCUAUGUUGCCCAGGCUGCUCUUCAACUCCGGGCCUCAAGCCGUCCUCCUGCUUCAGCCUCCCAAAGUACUGGGAGGUACUGGGAUUACAGCCCAGACACUCCUGUGAACUCCAGGCUCCUACAUCCUGCAUCAUAUUCACCAUUUCCAUGGGAAAGGAUGGAAGAUCUCAGAAGAUUUUUUUUCCUUUUUUUUUUUUUUUUUUGAGACGGAGUCUUGGUCUGUCACCAGGCUGGAGUGCAGUGGCGCGAUCUCGGCUCACUGCAUCCUCCACCUCCGAGGUUCAGCCUCCCGAGUAGCUGGGACUACAGGCAUGCGCAACCACGCCCAGCUAAUUUUUGUAUUUUUUAGUAGAGAUGGGGCUUCACCAUGUUGGCCAGGAUGGUCCCGACCCCUUGACCUCGUGAUCCACCCACCUCGGCCUCCCAAAGUGCCAGGAUUGCAGGCGUGAGCCAAUGCACCCGGCCCUUAGAGACAUUUUAAGCUGUACGUAUUCUAAACUGAGCUGACCUUCCUCCAGAAACUGCUCCCUCACCACCUUCCCCACCUAGGUCAGUGGCAGCUCUGUCCUUCCAGUGACUGAGGCCAAACACUCCUGGGUGGUCCUUCACCUCUCUCCUUCACACCCACUCCAACCUGUCAGCAGAUAUUAUUGGCUCCACUUACAGAAACUAAAGUCUUCCCCUCCACCCCCACCCUGCUCACAGCCUCCAUCCUUUCCCACCUGGACACCCCACAGCCUCCUCCCUGGCCUCCCUGCUCCCUUCUAUCUGCUCCCCGCUGUCUGCAACUCUUGUGGAGCCAGAGGAAGCCUGAGACCACCUGAGUCAGGUCAAGGCCAUACUGGCUCAGAGCCCUGCUCUGGCUGCACCCCACUCCAGGAAAGAGUCAAAAGUUCUCACAACAGGGCCAGGUGCGGUUGCUCAUGCCUGGAAUCCCAGCACUUUGGGAGACUGAGGCAGGAGGAGCGCUUGAACCUAGGAAUUUGAGACCAGCCUGGGCAACAUGGCAAGACCCCAUCUCUACAAAAAAUACCAAAAACUAGCCAGGCAUAGUGGCAUGGGCCCGUAGUCCCAGCUACUCGGGAGGCUGAGGUGGGAGGUUCACUUGAGCCCAGGAGGAAGAGGCUGCAGUGAGCCUUGAUUGCACCACUGCACUCCAGCCUGGGCAGCAGAGCGAACCCUGUCUCAAAAAAAAAAAAAGAGUUCUCAUGACAGCCACCAAGUCCCUAGGGAUCUGUCCCAUCACCUCCCUGCCCUCAUCCCUUCGCCCUGGAGAAAGUAAGAAGAUGCCUGCCUGGCAAGGUCACCUGCAUGUUCCCAGCUGAACACAGACAAAACUCAGCAUGGAGGCCCUGCAAGCACAGCAGCAUCCAAACAGCCUCUCUCAGGGCACACAUGAAGACAUGAGGCCGCUACUGCCUUACCAAGACCUUCUCCAGCCCCAGGUCUGGGGAGCAGAUCUUUCAAGUCUACACAUCUAGUGAUCACGGGAAGGUCCUGUCUUUUAUCACCCGCUCACAUACUGUGUACUUUUUUAAAAUUUUAUUAUUAUUAUUAUUAUUGAGAUGGAGUUUCGUUUUUGUUGCUCAGGCUGGAGUGCAAUGGCAUGGUCUUGGCUCACUGCAACCUCCACCUCCUGGGUUCAAGCGAUUCUCCUGCCUCAGCCUCCCAAGUAGCUGGGAUUACAGGUGUCCACCACCACUUCCGGCUAAUUUGUUUUUAUUUUUAGUAGAGACAAGGUUUCACCAUGUUGGCCAGGCUGGUCUCGAACUCCUGACGUCAGGUGAUCCACCCACCUCAGCCUCCCAAAGUGCUUAGAUUACAGGCAUGAGCCACCAUGCCCAGCCCUGUGUACUUUACAUAUUGAUCCAGAUUUCUGUCUCCUCCGCUAGAAUGUGAGCUUGCCACGGACUGGGGUUUCUAUUUCUUUUUUUUUUUUUUGAGAGAGAGUCUCACUCUGUCCCCUAGGCUGGAGUGCAGUGGCUCAAUCUUGGCUCACUGCAACCUCCACCUCCUGGGUUCAAGCAAUUCUCUGCCUCAGCUUCUCGAGUAGCUGGGAUUACAGGCGGGUGCCACCACGCCUAGCUAAUUUUGGUAUUUUUAGUAGAGAUGGGGUUUCACCAUCUUGGCCAGGCUUGUCUUGAACUCCUGACCUCAGGUGAUCCAUCCGCUUGGCCUCCCAAAGUGCUGGGAUUACAGGUGUGAGCCACCGCGCCCGGCUGGACCGGGAUUUCUAUAUGUCUUGUUCACUGCUAUGUACUCACUCAUAGGUAUGUAUCCAGUUCCUAGAACAGUGGUUGGCACAUCAUAGGUGCCCAGUAAACAUUUGUUGAAUGAAUGAAUAUGUUCUGUGUGUAUUUUCUCAUUGGAUUUUCAGCCCCAGCAGUGAGACAUUAGGGCAAGCAUUACUAAUGCCCUCCGCCAUCUCCCAGGCUCUGCUGGACUCAGGAGUUAUGUGACUUACUUUGGCCAAUAAAACAUGGAAACACCUCGUGCUUGAACAGGCUUGGGAGCGAACCAGGAGCCCGGGAAAGGGACCAGUAGAGAUGCAGGAAAGCAGGAGGACAGGAAGGAGGCCCAGCCGGCUCCAGCCACUAAGGGAGCUCGCUCGCCUCACUUCCACUGCGGCAGAAAGUCAGCUUCAGCGCCUCCCCCGGGACGCUGGUUCCCCGCCUCGGAUUAAGCUCGGCUGUCUGCACCGGAUGCCCGCGCCUGCGCUGCACUGCACCGCCCUUCGCGGAGCGCGGAGCCAAAUGCCUACAUCCCACAAUCCCCCGCAACGCCGGGAGGGGCGAGACCUCAGCUUCCAGCUCUGGGCAAGACCAGGAUGAUUGUCGCGUAGUUUUCUGGGAAAUGCCGUUUGCGUUCCAGGAUGCUUACGCCGCCUUUGAGACUACGCGACCCAUAAUGCACCAGGGGCACAGCGUCUGAACGGUGCGCUGCUGCCCCCUCGUGGCAGAUGGGCGGUCAUUGCCGAGGCUAGGCACGCUAAGGUUGCGGGAUCUGGGAGGCGAGCCCAAGUCCUGGGAACCCCUGGGAAUUCCCUCCCGACCCCAAACUUUGGGCAGGAAAGAUGGGGUGUUGACGGGAAACGGUGAAAGACUUGCGGACAGGGCCCGCUGUGAGGAUUAAAGGAAACCAGCCCAGUAACUGUUGGCUGUAUAUAAUCCUUA